GUUCUAGUAAAGACUGCAAAACCCAGAAAGCUCCAGAUCCCAUCUGACAUUGGAAGCUAAGCAGGGCCAGGCCUGGUUAGUACUUGGAAGGGAGACAUAAGGGAAUAUCAGAUGUUUAGAGAU
rnacentral:rRNA from 1 species